rnacentral:rRNA from 1 species
AGUGAACGCUGGCGGUAGGCCUAACACAUGCAAGUCGAACGGCAGCACAGUAAGAGCUUGCUCUUACGGGUGGCGAGUGGCGGACGGGUGAGGAAUACAUCGGAAUCUACUUUUUCGUGGGGGAUAACGUAGGGAAACUUACGCUAAUACCGCAUACGACCUACGGGUGAAAGCAGGGGAUCUUCGGACCUUGCGCGAUUGAAUGAGCCGAUGUCGGAUUAGCUAGUUGGCGGGGUAAAGGCCCACCAAGGCGACGAUCCGUAGCUGGUCUGAGAGGAUGAUCAGCCACACUGGAACUGAGACACGGUCCAGACUCCUACGGGAGGCAGCAGUGGGGAAUAUUGGACAAUGGGCGCAAGCCUGAUCCAGCCAUACCGCGUGGGUGAAGAAGGCCUUCGGGUUGUAAAGCCCUUUUGUUGGGAAAGAAAAGCAGCAGGUUAAUACCCCGCUGUUCUGACGGUACCCAAAGAAUAAGCACCGGCUAACUUAGU